CGCGGUGUCGUUAUGUCUCUUUGGAUUUUGUUCUUGCUGCGGAUCCUGUUAAGUUCUGUUUUGAAGAUGCCUUGUAAUCAGGAUGAUCCUGUCAUCCAGAACCUCGCCUGCAUGAGACGUGUCACACAUCCCAUCAGUGGCUGACGACGCCACAAUGAACAACCCGAGAGCAGAAGAAGCUGCAGCCUGAUGGAAAUCAAAAGACUUACCUGAUUGAUAGAUUUGGCUGCAAAAAAUAAAACCCCAUAAUCCCUGUAUUUCCUUACAAUAAUUGGAGCUAGGACUUUAAUGCAGCCCAUUGCAUUGAAUUUGAUUGAUUAAAAUUGAAUUAAAAUAACUGCCAUCAGUUAAAGUAACUCCAAAUUAUGAGUAAAAUCUUUCAUUUAGGUUUAAGAGAGGAGACACUGAUAGAACUUUAUCAGCCCAAAUAAAAUCACACUUUCGUUGGUUUCAUAAAACAUUUGUCUUUUUUUUAUCGUUUGUUUUUGUCAUGUCUUACUUUUGCUUCUUUUUAAACCUAAAUCAUUAACAGGGUCAGUCUUGGUUCUGCUAGUGACUAUUUCCAGUUUAAAUUUAGGUCUCCACAUUGUGAUGCUUACAAUAAAAUUUAUUUUUAUUUUACACAA